ensembl:lncRNA
UGAAAAUUGUGAUUAAAUACUAAUUAAAUAAAUUAAAUAAAGUUUCUUAAUUAUUAUUUUUAUUAAAAAGUUAAAAAAUAUUUUCUUGUAUUCAGAAUUGAAAGUUGAAUUCAAAAUCCACCUUGCCUAAAAACUGAUGGGACGCAUUUGAAUGUACAGUACAUGACACAUCUGUCUGUACUAAUAUAAGUAGUAGGACUUAUAAAUGUGUGCACUUGAAGCUGCUUCUGAAGCACUGCUCCUCUGACUAACUCACACUAUUAAGCCCAGAAGGUGGAAGCCACAUGAAUAACCAUGAAUACUGCACACCGAAGCCAAGCUUUCCCCUUUCACUCACUCAGUCCACAAGCUCCGCCUGUGCUGCCCUAUGCGAGUGUUUGUGUGUUCAGAUUGGGUACCAGCAGGCAGUACAGCCUCUCUUUUUCAGUAUCUCUCUUUCUUUUUCUCCCCCUCCUCCUCCUCCUCUUCCCUCGGUCGCUCAGUGAUUGAGGGAGAAUGUGAGUAAAGAAAAAGAGGCAGGCGUGUUUUAACAGAUGGCUCUUGCUGUCCCGAUUCAGCCAGCUCACUGCCUCUGGUACGAGAGAGAGAGAGAGAGAGUGUGCAAGCAAUGUGAUGACCACAGUGCAACAGGGUGCAGGAAGACAGAUAUCAGGACAGAAGAGGAAAAAGUGCACCGGGACACUGACUUCCCUCCCAAGCCAGACCGGCUCGCUGGUUUGGGGUCUCCGCCGCAGGACAGAAGGGGACAAACUGCCACCUGCCUCCCCUGCAGCUGUGUGUGAGGAAGAGGAAGUAACUGAGGAAGAAGAGCCACCGCUAAACACAACCAUCAUCUAAUUUAGCUGUCAACUGAUGAUUUCAGUUUCUAAUGAAGGUACAAGCACGUUCGUCAAAGAUUAGCACUCGCUUACAAGCAAUCUUUGAUAAGUGUGUAUGUAGCAGCAGCAGUCUGAGAGGUGGGUGGUGUCUGCGUCUUUACUUUGGCACUCAGUUUUUUAAUGCCCAUGUUGAUUUUGGGACUCUGACCAUGGUUAGCCUUCCAUGGCCUAGCCGAUGUUUACACUGAUUGCUUACAUUUGGUUAGUAAAUUCCCACGAUUUUGACAGGUGGCAAAGCGGGACCGGCAGAUUGGGUGCUCUUGCUUGAGUUCUCUCUCUCUUCCUUUGUCUCUCCUUCAUUAUCUCUCCUUUUCUGCUCUAUUUCUCAUCUCCUCCUGCUGUUAACCUCUGUGAAGGGAUGUUCUAGGGCUGAAAGGAAGUUACUGUGCUUACUCAAGGCUAAUGUUGUGGCCGACAUCAGUGGAAUGGAACCAUUUCAUAACUGAUUGGCUCUGAUGCCCAACCACCUUUUUGCCUUUCCCUUUAUAGCAGCAGAUUUGAAAGAAAGAUAGCAGCUGUUUCAUGUGGGCAGAUGUUUGACUUCUGCUGCAUGUGUUUGGGCAGAGACCGGGUGGUUUUGUUUUAUGAACUUUAGCUAAUUACUCAAACUGAUAACAAGGAGCCAAGAUAAGAUCAUUAAAGGUGUGGGUGUUUAUGUGUGUGAUACAUGUUUUUCCCAUGUGGUUCUUGAUAUGAAGAGUCUGAAUGAAAGGUUAAAGUGAACUGAAAUACUGGGCCUAUAAACUUUGGGAUUAAUUUACAUAUAGAAGAAAAUAUACUUGAAAUAAAUAUAGCAUCAUAAUUUUGCUGUUUUUAGAG